rnacentral:rRNA from 1 species
GACGAACGCUGGCGGCGUGCUUAACACAUGCAAGUCGAACGAAGUGGCGCACGGGUGAGUAACGCGUAAUCCUCCUGCCCUUCAGAGGGGGACGACAGUUGGCAACGACAGCUAAUACCUCAUACGCAAGGUGGGGGUUGCGUCGGCUUGGCGUGUUGGAGGGGGAACGGCCCAACAAGGCGAGGACCAGUAGCCGGUUGGAGAGGGUGAAUCGCCAAAUGGGGACUGAGAAAAGGCCCAGAAUCCUACGGGAGGCAGCAGUGGGGAAUCUUUGGCAAUGGACGAAAGUCUGACUGCGCAACUCCGCGUGAGGGAUGACGGCUUUCGGGUUGUAAAGCCCUGUUAAUCUGGACGCGGUACCGAAAGAGAAAGCCACGGCUAACUACGUGCCAGCAGCCGCGGUAAUAC